ensembl:lncRNA
AUGUACAUAGGAGUGAAUCAAAGUGUGGACAACAUCAAAUGCGAGCAAUAGGUAGAAUAAAUGAAGAUUAGGUCAUCCAAUAUGCAUAGUUAGUGUAGGACAAUCGGGUAGUAUGAUGAAGGUAACUGUUAUUAUGAGAUACGGUUAACACAGAAGUGAUAUUGAACAUGCAAAUUUUAACAUUGUUAAUUCCCUUUUACAUCUUUUUGGUUAUAGCAACUUGGUUGAACUACGGUGUUGUUAUCUUUGGUUGUCAUUCAAUGCACAUGGCUGAAGCAAUGCGCAAGGAGGGAUGUAGUGUGAAAUUAAACCAAAGUAGAUACUGUAAAACAAUUAAAAUUAGAAUUCAUGGAAAUAUGUUUUUGAACAACUAACUGCUGUACAUGAGUUUGUAUUUCUGCAAUAGAAGCAAAAGUUCCAGAACCAGAUGCAGACACACCCGGAGCCUACAAACUACCACCGCCGAGCAAGGACUAACAGUCACAUGAGGAGAUCAAAUAACAGCAGGAUUUGAAUCGCACCGGAUGGGUUGGUGUCCAGGGCGCUGGUAUGAUUACAAUCCCUCAGGCCACCUGUUGCUGACACGACGACGACGGAGAACCUGUUUGGAGGCUCCCAUGAUGUAGGAGUAACCUCUCUGAGUUGAGCCCUUGACAAGGAGGGACGAGUCUUGGGUUCAUGAACUACAGGCCCGACGGCGACAGAAUCCAUGCCCAAACCACCCACAUGCAACAGCGAACCAAUGCACGAAGAUCACCUGAACCGCCCGAAUCCAUGCUAGGCUAUCAAUAAUCUUGAAUUUUUUAAAAUUGUAUUAUGACUACCAAUUUUUACUUUACUUUUGCACAUGAUGAAAAUUGUAUGACCUUGUAGCACAUGACCAAAAGUAUUAGCUCAGGAUUUCUAUGGAUAGUUUUGUUUGUGUGCUGUUUGGCCAUGUGAUUGUAUGUUAACAAGACUUAUGUUCAUUGUUGUAUUGUUAAAUAAUGACCUGUAUUUCCAAUAAGACCCACAACGUGAAUGCCGUCUCAGUAUUAUGGGGACGCGUAGUGGUUUUUCCCUCUCUUCAAGAG